GGCGGCAUAGCCAAGUGGCUAAGGCAGCGGUCUGCAAAACCGCUAUUCGCCGGUUCGAAUCCGGCUGCCGCCU
rnacentral:tRNA from 1 species